rnacentral:tRNA from 1 species
GGAGAGGUGUCCGAGUGGCCGAAGGAGCACGAUUGGAAGUCGUGUGUGGCGGCAACGUCACCGUGGGUUCGAAUCCCACCCUCUCCGCCA